CAAAUGUGAAGUGCUUUUAAUAGCUGCCUUUUGAAAUGCUGUUAAAUCAGACUGUGAGAUGGGUGGCGUAAGGCACCAGGGAAGCAAGGCAGUGUGCAGGAGGACUCUGCACUGAACAACUGGUCCGCCCUUCAAGGACUCAGCUCCCAUAUGGGGACCAUGGGCAGUAGGGUUAAAAACAAACGGAAUGUGUGACGCUUUCAGAAACCUGGCUGUCCUUUCCGUGUUAAUUUUCCUUCUUUAUUUGGUGAGAAUCUAACAGCUCUGUUUUCAGCAUUUUCAAAAUAUGUCUUGGUGACCAUUUCUAAAAUAAAAGUCAGCGAGGAGCGAACAGAAAUACAAAGGCUUACUGGCACUGCUAAUGCCACGCGCUGAUCCCCCGGAGGCUCUGCCCCUUUAUGUAACAUGGAUUGUUUCAGCUAACACGGCUUAUUGCUCUUCGGUGUUUUUCUUUAAACACAGACAUUAGAAACCUCCUUCUGACACUGAAACCCUUCUUCUGACCCUCGUUGUAGGAGGGGAAAAAUGCAAUGGGAAACAAAAUUUCACUUGUGCUAUAACACAUACGUGUUUUUCUCUCUUGCCUGUCAUCUACCUUUGAAGGGAAAAAAGUCACCAAUUUACAUCACUCAGGUGCAGCUCCCCAAUGGCAAGACACAGGAGGCCACCCCCCACCUCUCCUCAGCCCAAACACCCCCUGAUGGCCGUGGACGCUCCAAGCAAAGAAGAGACAGCCUCGGGAAGGCCACUGGCACGGCCUGACGGCAGCUUUGGCAGCCGUGCUGCAGUACUUACUUCCUGCUGGCCCACCUCCCCGGAAGCAUCCAGCCAGCACCACGGCGUCACCGCAGCUCUCCGUGCGCAGAGGAGAAAAAAAGAAAUCAGAACCCUCUGGAACCACUUGCAAUCGGAGACCUGAAUGGACUCGACGUGAAAACCAACUCAAACCAACAGAAGCCAUCUGCUUCCCUGGGCGUUGGACGAGAUCCAGCUUAAAAGUUUCCGUGAAAUAAACUAGGCUAAGUGCAUCAGCUGCACAGAAACCCUCGGUGCAACGGGAGCAUCUGUUCUUCACGUCUACGGUUUGCUGAGAGCCUUCAUUUCCCGUGGCCGAGGGGACACGAGUCGCCACACCAAUCGCAGGCGCUGCUGUGGCCACGCGUGCCUCCCACCCGUGCCGGCCUCGCUGCCGGCGGCGCUGCGGAUGAGCCGUUGUCACAAGGCAGCGUGCACAGGGCACAAACCACCCGGCCACGCAGCUUCGCUUGGUCAGAAAACAGCUUAACGUAUUUUGUAUGAUGGCAUUACGAGUGAAAUUGAUGUCUGCGUUGAGACAGCUGAGGAGCACACCUCGGAACCAUUUAUGCACAGUACAAAGCAAAUGUUUACCCAAGUACGAAUGAAACAGGUUGACAAUUAGCUAAUGCGGCUUUGUGGACAUAAACCAGGUACAUUUGAGCAGAACCAACAUAAAAUAAAAAGGAAACAGCCCUUUUCCUAUCCAGUGCUAAGAGCACCGCGGUGAGUGGUCGGGGAAGUCUGGUACGCUGAAAAAUUUCCGUGCCAGUGUUUAAUGUGUUUAUUCUACUGCUACUCUGCCGGGAUAAAAAUAACACCAGCAGGGCACGCUGGCGGGACGAUGGAUCCCCUGUCAAUACUACAGUAAUUGACAACAUACAAUUAAGUCUCACACCUGUUUAUUGUAAGUAAUUCAUAGAUAACCACUUCUCGUACACAUUUUCACAUUGGCUUUUAAUGCUUUUGUUUUUCAAGCUCAGGGACACCCAAACUUCAGCUAAGGGUCAUCUCUGCAGUUUACCCAGCUCCAGAAUGCCAUACCUACUACGUAAAACUGGUGCAAGUUGGUAUCACUGCGGUGGGUAACAGAGAUGGCUUGGAAACUACACAACCCAACAUGCAACGCCCACCAGCACGGGCUGCUCUACGCUAAGGGAGGAAGGUUUUUUGCUGGGGUGCAUUCAACUCACAUGCCUCAUGUUGGCCGUACCAGCCUAAGUCAUGCAGCUGUCUGCACGCAACGCUCUACACAGUGCAAAAACGAAGACGUCUAUACAUCUGGAGUAAGAACAGUGGUAACAAAGUCAUAGCUACAUAUUCU
rnacentral:lncRNA from 1 species